rnacentral:lncRNA from 10 species
GUGAGUGUGGACGCCACUGGCGGGGGUGCCGCGGUGCGCGAGCGCUCGGCCAGCGGCAGAGACGCCGCGGGAGCCGCCCCCAGCGCCAACGCCGCCGCGGGCGGGAAGGGCGAGGCUCGGCGAGGCUGGGCGAGGAGCUGGGCGGCAGACGCUGAGCGGGGCGCGGCGCGGGGCGCCGGACGAGCGCGGGCGUAGGAGGAGCGCGGGCGUAGGAGUCGGCGACCCGCUCGCUCCCGCGGCCGGUGCCUCUGGGCUGGGGGCCGGGCUGGGGGCCGGGCCGGGCCGGGCCGGGCCGGGCGGCCAGGCGGCUCCGCCCCUUCGCCGGGCAGCGGCUGAGCGCGCGAGAGGAGCGGCGCGGGGGCGCCCCCCUCGGCCGGGCGCUCGGGUUUCAGCCGCCGCUCCUCCGCGCCCCGCCCGCGCCUGGCCCGCUCGCCGGCGCCGGGAGAGACCUCGUAACGGAACUGGGACGCCAGCGCUGCAUUGUGGGAGCUUUUAAAGCGGCGGGGAGCUCGGCGCGACCCUCGGGCCCACCGGGCCACGCUCGCCCGGCCCGCGACGCCCCCCCGCUGUCGCCUGGCCCGCGACGCACCGAGGCCUGAGGACCCGAAAGCCGGGCGCGGGGAGAUGACCGGUGGCUCGUGACGGUCCCACGGGCAAAAUCUUCCAUCGCCCGGGGCUGAGACUUGUCAAACUGCCCUCUACGGUCACCCGGAAAGUAGGAGGCUUUUUCUGCAGAGGGGAAAAAAAUCAAAAAGAGCCGUUCCAUCCCCCCUCCAAGGACUGGGUUUGAAUUGCUUUUCAUCUGCAGUGGCUGUGAUUCAGCGUCCCUCUUAGCAGCAGGCAAUGACAGAGGCAGGAGAGGGGAAAAAAAAAAAGAAAGAAAGAAAAAACACAGCAAAUGAAUCAAACGGACGUAGCAGGCAAGAGUGUGGUUAUCGUUGGACCAGGAUUCAGGAUCUGACUGAGUAGCUGACUCUUAAUCCAGUUUGUGUUGAUCACCAGGAGGAUCUGGACCUCAGUAUUACCACAUCUAGAGCUAUAAUCACAUCCCUGUUAAGCCUUCCUGAGAUCACACCAAAUGUCCUUGAUGGGAAUUGUAAACAACCCUUACUUCUGGUUUCUAAUGAUAUUCCAGGAAAGGAGCCUAACUAGAGUCAGUGAUAUGCCAACUCCACCUUUGCCUUCCACCAUGUUUGGAAGCUCCCUGAGGCCUCACCAGGAGCAGAUGCUCGUCCCAUGCUUCCUAUAAGCCUGCAGAACUGGAAAAGAAAGCUGGAUAAAGUAUUUAUAGAAGAUAGAGGACCUGUGGUGGCUCAUGCCUGUAAUCCAAGGUGGAAGGAUUGCUUGAGGCCAGAAGUUCAAGACCAGUCCAAGCAACAUAGCAAGGCCCCAUCUCUACAAAAAAUGAAAAUAAAAUUAGCCGAGCGUGAUGGCUCAUGCCUGUAGUUCUAGCUUCUAGAGAGGCUGAGGCAGGAGGAUUGCUUGAGUCCAGGAGUUCAAGAUUACAGUGAGCUAUGGUCACACCACUGCACUCCAGCCUGGGUGAUGGAGUGAGACUGUCUCAAUAAAAAGACAAAAAGGCUGGCCAGGGGCAGUGGUUCAUGCCUGUAAACCCAGCACUUUGGGAGGCAAAGGCAGGAGGAUUGCUUAAGCCCAGGAAUUUGAGAUCAGCCUGGACAACAUGGUCAAGGAAGCUUUUCCUGAUCCACUAACUAAGGACAAUCAAACCCUUCAUGAUCUAGAAUCUGGAGACUGUGUCUUCUGGGAAUAGUAUCAGAGAAAGACUGCCCUUACUGCCCACAUGUAGCAAAACUUUGAGACGUUGAAUUAUGGGUCCAUAAUCUCACAACUCAGAGGGGCACCUCUAGACUCUUGGAACUGUAUAUCUAUUGGAGACUUUAAGGUAAAGCUGAACAGAGAGACGUUUUUCUCCAGAAGCAGACAGCACCAUAGUCAUGGACAGCUUUCCCAAGAUCACAGAUCAAGACUUCUCUGCCGUCAUGAGACUCAUAACCUCUUAAUUUUUUCUUGCUUAUGCUUCUGUGAACAAUAGAAUUGGAAAAGGGGUGGUCCCGCGUGCACCCAUAGGGUAUACUUUUAUUUGUGGAGGAUUUUGCUGCCAACCUUAUACAUGGGCAAACUUAUGCCUUCAUGGAUGGAAGAUAAAGGGCUAAUAUGGGUUAGAAAUUUUAAUGGUACCUUUGUUUCUCCAUAAUCAUUCAGAAACAGAACACUGGUCCACUCUUGUUAACCUACAUCAUAGGUUGAAGAGAACAUUGCCAGGAGGCCUUCAUCCUUCCAGAUGGGCACCAUUUGUUGGGUCUUUUUCCGUGGUAUGAAGAAAAUGAAGCAAUGAUUAGAAAUUGGUCCCUCGGCCGGGCACAAUGGCUCAUGCCUGUAAUCCCAUCACUUUGGCAGGCCGAGGCGGGUGGAUCACCUGAGGUCAGGAGUUUGAGACCAGCCUGACCAAUGUGGUGAAACGCCAUCUCUACUAAAAAUACAAAAAUUAGCUGGGUGUGAUGGUGCACACCUGUAAUCCAGCUACUCGGGAGGCUGAGACAGGAGAAUUGCUUGAACCUGGGAGGCAGAGGUUGCAGUGAGCCAAGAUCACCCCACUGCAUUCCAGGUUGGGCAACAGAGCAAGACUCUGUCUCAAAAAAAAAAGAAGAAAGAAAGAAAUUGAUCCCUCAUAAUAGGCUGUAUAGCAGAUUCUACUGCAAAGGCUAUGGUUGCACAACAGACUUCUUUGAAUUUGCUUGCUAAACUUUUACUGGAUAAUACUGGGAUUACAGGUGUGAGCCACUGUGCCCAGCCUCUCCUGUUUAACUGUAUUCAUUCUAAUGUUUACUUACUUCUUUAAUUUGUAAAAUUGGGUCACUUAGAGUUUUUUUAGCCUAUCUUGCCAUUUAGCCACUGUUACUGAUAAUUUGGAUGGAAAAGAAAAAUAAAUUAUAUCACCUCUCAUCUUCAGUGUAUAUAUGUGUUAACUUAGUAAAUAUAGUAUUCUUUCUCGUUCCUAAUGAAAAUUUAGUUUACGUACUGAAACACUGCAAACUUUUAUAAAUAUUGUGAUGUAUUUGACCAAUACAAAGGAUCUUUUUAGAAACAGCAAACAGUUCUCAGAUUAUAGGAAUUACUCAUUUAAUGAUAGUUUCUUCUU